rnacentral:rRNA from 1 species
GAGCAACGCCGCGUGAGUGAUGAAGGUUUUCGGAUCGUAAAGCUCUGUUGUUAGGGAAGAACAAGUGCGAGAGUAACUGCUCGCACCUUGACGGUACCUAACCAGAAAGCCACGGCUAACUACGUGCCAGCAGCCGCGGUAAUACGUAGGUGGCAAGCGUUGUCCGGAAUUAUUGGGCGUAAAGGGCUCGCAGGCGGUUUCUUAAGUCUGAUGUGAAAGCCCCCGGCUCAACCGGGGAGGGUCAUUGGAAACUGGGAAACUUGAGUGCAGAAGAGGAGAGUGGAAUUCCACGUGUAGCGGUGAAAUGCGUAGAGAUGUGGAGGAACACCAGUGGCGAAGGCGACUCUCUGGUCUGUAACUGACGCUGAGGAGCGAAAGCGUGGGGAGCGAACAGGAUUAGAUACCCUGGUAGUCCACGCCGUAAACGAUGAGUGCUAAGUGUUAGGGGGUUUCCGCCCCUUAGUGCUGCAGCUAACGCAUUAAGCACUCCGCCUGGGGAGUACGGUCGCAAGACUGAAACUCAAAGGAAUUGACGGGGGCCCGCACAAGCGGUGGAGCAUGUGGUUUAAUUCGAAGCAACGCGAAGAACCUUACCAGGUCUUGACAUCCUCUGACAACCCUAGAGAUAGGGCUUUCCCUUCGGGGACAGAGUGACAGGUGGUGCAUGGUUGUCGUCAGCUCGUGUCGUGAGAUGUUGGGUUAAGUCCCGCAACGAGCGCAACCCUUGAUCUUAGUUGCCAGCAUUUAGUUGGGCACUCUAAGGUGACUGCCGGUGACAAACCGGAGGAAGGUGGGGAUGACGUCAAAUCAUCAUGCCCCUUAUGACCUGGGCUACACACGUGCUACAAUGGACAGAACAAAGGGCUGCA